rnacentral:rRNA from 1 species
GAUGAACGCUGGCGGCGUGCCUAAUACAUGCAAGUCGAGCGAACGGACGAGAAGCUUGCUUCUCUGAUGUUAGCGGCGGACGGGUGAGUAACACGUGGAUAACCUACCUAUAAGACUGGGAUAACUUCGGGAAACCGGAGCUAAUACCGGAUAAUAUUUUGAACCGCAUGGUUCAAAAGUGAAAGACGGUCUUGCUGUCACUUAUAGAUGGAUCCGCGCUGCAUUAGCUAGUUGGUAAGGUAACGGCUUACCAAGGCAACGAUGCAUAGCCGACCGGAGAGGGGGAUCGGCCACACGGGAACGGAACCAGGGUCCAGACUCCUACGGGAGGCAGCAGUAGGGAAUCUUCCGCAAUGGGCGAAAGCCUGACGGAGCAACGCCGCGUGAGUGAUGAAGGUCUUCGGAUCGUAAAACUCUGUUAUUAGGGAAGAACAUAUGUGUAAGUAACUGUGCACAUCUUGACGGUACCUAAUCAGAAAGCCACGGCUAACUACGUG